AACAGCUACUGCCCUCAGGGCUGUGACAGGACACCCAAGAAAUACAUGAAUCAGAAAGAUAACUUCCAACUGUCAUGAGAGCCAGACCUCGUUGAAGAAGGCAUGGUCAAGGUACACUGCAUGGUAAAUUUGCAGAGGUGCUAUAUUGAGGGAUUUGUUGAGAAUCUGCCCUCUGGGGUAUAGAGGAAACUGUCUAAGAGAAGACUCCACACCAGAGGAACUAACUGGGAAAUCACAUUCUUGGGUAGCUGAAGAAAGUGCCAAAGGAGAGGUAUCUUGCCCUGAAACUUACUGCAAAACUGCCCAAAAGUGUGUCAGGGAAGCAGUUCAUAAGAUGGUGCCCUGUGCUGCUGGCCACCUUGCAUUACAGAAGACUGCCGAAAGAGUACACCAUUACUGGGAAGCAAAUGCCUUCCUCCUCCAGGAUCCCUACUGUAUCACCUACUGAUAGAGCCUUGCACUGAGUCAACUUGUGAGGGAAUAAUGUUCAGGAUCACAAGUGAGGUCAUAAAAGGUGUAUUUAGAACUAAGAGACAGAAGAUUGACAACUGAUAAACUUAAAGCUCUAACUCCCAAUACAAGAGAAAUACAAGGUGCAGAGAGACAUGAUCACCCCAUGGGGAUACAAUCGGAGAAUUUUAAACAAAAAGAAUUGGUACCCUAUUUGAAGGAAAAAUGAUAUGGUGCCACUACCUGAAAUCUAUCUCCCACAGAUGACGAAAAUCUAUUUCACCUUCAAACUACAUUCAAACAAAGGAGGAAUAAACUACAGAAAGCAACGGUGGAAACGAAAGUAUGCACAUAUAUUGUUGACCAACUUUGAAGAAAUUAAUAUAUAUAAUGGAAAAUUAAGGGAGGCCAAGACAUAAAGUAACUAUGUGCCUGGUAAGACAACUAUUAUUUAUAUUAUUAUUAAAUAUCUUGAA